UACCAACUGGAGCCGGGGCCAUCCCU
rnacentral:piRNA from 1 species